UUUUGGAUAGGGUUAGAAAGAAAGGAUGACAUGGGACCCAAACGAUAGUUGAAGUUGGGUGGGACUUACAAAUUUUGGAAUCAACUCAAACAAUGAGGAUUAACUCAUGCCCCAAUUUCUUUUGACUAGAAAAUUCUAAAUUAUUUAUUUGGUUGGACCGAGCUCAGAGUAGGGCAGCCUACGUAUCUCACCCUCGAGAGAGAAGAAUCAGGUCACGAGUAGUUCUGGCAGCUUGUUUUGCUUGAUUCUAAUUUUUUUUCUUCUAUGUUUCUUUUAUUGACUCUUU
rnacentral:lncRNA from 1 species